rnacentral:rRNA from 1 species
CCUACGGGAGGCAGCAGUGAGGAAUAUUGCACAAUGGGGGAAACCCUGAUGCAGCAACGCAGCGUGAAUGAAGAAGGCUUUAGGUAUGUAAAGCUCUAUCAACAGAGAAGAAGAUGACGGUACCUGAUUAAGAAGCCACGGCUAACUACGUGCCAGCAGCCGCGGUAAUACGUAGGGGGCAAGCGUUAUACGGAUUUACUGGGUGUAAAGGGAGCGCAGAGGGCAGUACAAGUCUGUAGUGAAAGCCCGCGGCCCAACCCCGGAACUGCGCUGGAAACUGGGAGUCUAGAGUACUGGAGGGGCAGGCGGAAUUCGUAGUGUAGCGGUGAAAUGCGUAGAUAUUAGGAGGAACACCAGUGGCGAAGGCGGCCUGCUGGACAGUAACUGACGUUGAUGCUCGAAAGCGUGGGGAGCAAACAGGAUUAGAUACCCUUGUAGUC